rnacentral:rRNA from 1 species
GACGAACGCUGGCGGCGUGCUUAACACAUGCAAGUCGAACGGAAAGGCCUCUUUCGGGGGGUACUCGAGUGGCGAACGGGUGAGUAACACGUGAGUAACCUGCCCUUGACUUUGGGAUAACUUCAGGAAACUGGGGCUAAUACCGUAUAGGAGCUCCUGCUGCAUGGUGGGGGUUGGAAAGUUUCGGCGGUUGGGGAUGGACUCGCGGCUUAUCAGCUUGUUGGUGGGGUAGUGGCUUACCAAGGCUUUGACGGGUAGCCGGCCUGAGAGGGUGACCGGCCACAUUGGGACUGAGAUACGGCCCAGACUCCUACGGGAGGCAGCAGUGGGGAAUAUUGCACAAUGGGUGGAAGCCUGAUGCAGCAACGCCGUGUGCGGGAUGACGGCCUUCGGGUUGUAAACCGCUUUCGCUCAUGACGAAGCUUUGUGUGACGGUAGUGGGUAAAGAAGCACCGGCUAACUACGUG